rnacentral:rRNA from 1 species
GACGAACGCUGGCGGCGUGCUUAACACAUGCAAGUCGAACGGAAAGGCCCUGCUUUUUGGGGGUGCUCGAGUGGCGAACGGGUGAGUAACACGUGAGUAACCGACCCUUGACAUUGAGAUAACUUCAUGAAACUUGGGCUAAUACCGGAUAGGAGCUUUUGCUGCAUGGGAGGGGGUGUAAAGUUUCGGCGGUUGGGGAUUGACUCGCGGCUUAUCAGCUUGUUGGUGGGGGAGUGGCUUACCAAGGCUUUGACGGGUAGCCUGCCUGAGAGGGUAGGCGGCCACAUUGGACCUGAGAUGAGGCACAGACUAGUACGGGAGGCAGCAGUGGGGAAGAUUGCACAAUGGGAGGAAGCAUGAUGCGGCAACGCCGCGUGCGGGAUGAGGGCAUUGGGGUUGUAAACUGAUUUCGCCUGUGCCGAGGAGUGAGUGACGGUAAUGGGUAAAGAAGCACCGGCUAACUACGUG